rnacentral:lncRNA from 1 species
AAAUUUUAAAUCUUAAUUUAAGUUCAAAUUAAAAUUUAAAAUUAUAUAUUUAAUUUUUAAAUUUUAACUCAUAUUUUAAUUAAAAAAGUAGAAAAAAUGAAUUUAAUCCGAAUAAAUAUCCAUUCCGUCCCGAUUUAACUUUCAAUCCGGCCUCCUAAGCCAGAUUGAAAAUUGAGGUGAUUGGGGGAUUCCCAUUCCACUCGGGAAUCGGAAUCAGAAUGGGAUUCCCGCGUACCAAACACCUACAAACAUAUUCACCCAUUCCGAUUCCGAUUCUAGGGUGAAAAAGAAGCGAACCAAACACGCCCUUAAGGGUGCGUUUGGUUCGCAUUAUGAAAGAUUACUAGGAAUAAAAGAUAUCCGAGAAUCUUAUUCCUAUUCAUCCUAUUACUAAGAAUGUGGAAUUCCUGUGUUUGGUUUGCACGGUAAUAUUAAUUAGCCAUGUUAUUUAAUAUUACAAAAAAUAUACAAUUAAUUAAUUUAUUUAUUUAAUUAAUUUUAGAUAAUGUUACCAAAAGUUUCAACAUCUUUUUAGAAAAAAGGAGAGAGAGUAUAAGUUAGAGAGAGAGAGCAUAAUUAAAAAAAUAGAAAGAAAAAUAUAGUCGAAAUUAGAGGGAGUGAGAGAGUUAAAAUUUUAGAAAGAGAGAGAGAGAAAGCUUAUUUUAGAGAGAGAAAAAAAAGUUGAAUUUUAGAGAGAAAAAUAAGUUUAGAGAGAGAUAUAAGGUUAGAGUGUAAAGAAAAAUAAUAUCAAUUAGCCGGCAGGUAGGAAGAAAGAAAAAAAUUAGACAUAUUAUGAUUACCCCAAUCCAUUAAUAUGAGGAUACCUACCCUCCCUCAAGGGAAUGAGAUUAGUACUUUGGGGUGAAUCUUAUUCCUAAGUGAAUCCAAUAUUACCAACUAGAUUAUUUAGUGCGUUUAGCCAAAUACUGUCAUAUUUUUUUAUUCCCAUUGGAUUACUAGGAAUCUUUAAAAGAUAGCGCGAACCAAACGCACCUUGAAGUCAAAAAUUAAAGUCAAAAAAUUUAAAUUUAACUAUUGCAAAAGAAGAAUGAUUCAGGCGUCUGAAUCAUUCUUAUUUUAGUUAAAAAUUAAAGUCAAAAAAUUUAACUUAAUUUUAAAUAAAAAUAUAAAAUAUAACUGAGAUAUUUUCGUAAAGUGCAUGAUCUGUCUGG